UGCCUGCUCAUGCACAAGACUUCAAAUUUAACUGAAAAAGGCUGUUUUGGCGCCAAGCUGCUGUUUCUUUGAGAGAUCCUGCCUUUACCUGCUCCCUCCUAUACUGAUGUGGUGUAUGUGGUAUUGCUGAGCUUGUAUGUGGUGGAAGCAGAAUAUGUGAGGAUUACUACUGCUGCACAUGUUCCAAGGCUUUUUACACAACUUGACCAAUACACUGACCAGCUCAUAAAAGUCUUCAAGAAAAAAGGAGGCGUUGCAGGGAAGAAAAUUAGACAAACUUUGGCCCCAGCCACACAGAAGGAAACCAUUGAAAAGGGGAGGGAGUGUGUCCUCAGGGCACUACCUUUUUACCUGAAUGAAGACCCAAGCAUCCUCUUCAAAGAAUAAUUGCUACAGCUGUUCAGAGGGAGCUGGAACAAAUUACCCUUGCUAUCUUUACCAUCGAAAGAGCUGAUGCCAGCACUC
ensembl:lncRNA